UGUUUCGGCAAGGGGGUCAUCCCGACUUACCAACCCGAUGCAAACUGCGAAUACCGGAGAAUGUUAUCACGGGAGACACACGGCGGGUGCUAACGUCCGUCGUGAAGAGGGAAACAACCCAGACCGCCAGCUAAGGUCCCAAAGUCAUGGUUAAGUGGGAAACGAUGUGGGAAGGCCCAGACAGCCAGGAUGUUGGCUUAGAAGCAGCCAUCAUUUAAAGAAAGCGUAAUAGCUCACUGGUCGAGUCGGCCUGCGCGGAAGAUGUAACGGGGCUAAACCAUGCACCGAAGCUGCGGCAGCGACACUAUGUGUUGUUGGGUAGGGGAGCGUUCUGUAAGCCUGUGAAGGUGUACUGUGAGGUAUGCUGGAGGUAUCAGAAGUGCGAAUGCUGACAUAAGUAACGAUAAAGCGGGUGAAAAGCCCGCUCGCCGGAAGACCAAGGGUUCCUGUCCAACGUUAAUCGGGGCAGGGUGAGUCGACCCCUAAGGCGAGGCCGAAAGGCGUAGUCGAUGGGAAACAGGUUAAUAUUCCUGUACUUGGUGUUACUGCGAAGGGGGGACGGAGAAGGCUAUGUUGGCCGGGCGACGGUUGUCCCGGUUUAAGCGUGUAGGCUGGUUUUCCAGGCAAAUCCGGAAAAUCAAGGCUGAGGCGUGAUGACGAGGCACUACGGUGCUGAAGCAACAAAUGCCCUGCUUCCAGGAAAAGCCUCUAAGCAUCAGGUAACAUCAAAUCGUACCCCAAACCGACACAGGUGGUCAGGUAGAGAAUACCAAGGCGCUUGAGAGAACUCGGGUGAAGGAACUAGGCAAAAUGGUGCCGUAACUUCGGGAGAAGGCACGCUGAUAUGUAGGUGAAGUCCCUCGCGGAUGGAGCUGAAAUCAGUCGAAGAUACCAGCUGGCUGCAACUGUUUAUUAAAAACACAGCACUGUGCAAACACGAAAGUGGACGUAUACGGUGUGACGCCUGCCCGGUGCCGGAAGGUUAAUUGAUGGGGUCAGCGCAAGCGAAGCUCUUGAUCGAAGCCCCGGUAAACGGCGGCCGUAACUAUAACGGUCCUAAGGUAGCGAAAUUCCUUGUCGGGUAAGUUCCGACCUGCACGAAUGGCGUAAUGAUGGCCAGGCUGUCUCCACCCGAGACUCAGUGAAAUUGAACUCGCUGUGAAGAUGCAGUGUACCCGCGGCAAGACGGAAAGACCCCGUGAACCUUUACUAUAGCUUGACACUGAACAUUGAGCCUUGAUGUGUAGGAUAGGUGGGAGGCUUGGAAGUGUGGACGCCAGUCUGCAUGGAGCCGACCUUGAAAUACCACCCUUUAAUGUUUGAUGUUCUAACGUUGACCCGUAAUCCGGGUUGCGGACAGUGUCUGGUGGGUAGUUUGACUGGGGCGGUCUCCUCCUAAAGAGUAACGGAGGAGCACGAAGGUUGGCUAAUCCUGGUCGGACAUCAGGAGGUUAGUGCAAUGGCAUAAGCCAGCUUGACUGCGAGCGUGACGGCGCGAGCAGGUGCGAAAGCAGGUCAUAGUGAUCCGGUGGUUCUGAAUGGAAGGGCCAUCGCUCAACGGAUAAAAGGUACUCCGGGGAUAACAGGCUGAUACCGCCCAAGAGUUCAUAUCGACGGCGGUGUUUGGCACCUCGAUGUCGGCUCAUCACAUCCUGGGGCUGAAGUAGGUCCCAAGGGUAUGGCUGUUCGCCAUUUAAAGUGGUACGCGAGCUGGGUUUAGAACGUCGUGAGACAGUUCGGUCCCUAUCUGCCGUGGGCGCUGGAGAACUGAGGGGGGCUGCUCCUAGUACGAGAGGACCGGAGUGGACGCAUCACUGGUGUUCGGGUUGUCAUGCCAAUGGCACUGCCCGGUAGCUAAAUGCGGAAGAGAUAAGUGCUGAAAGCAUCUAAGCACGAAACUUGCCCCGAGAUGAGUUCUCCCUGACUCCUUGAGAGUCCUGAAGGAACGUUGAAGACGACGACGUUGAUAGGCCGGGUGUGUAAGCGCAGCGAUGCGUUGAGCUAACCGGUACUAAUGAACCGUGAGGCUUAACCUUACAAC
rnacentral:rRNA from 1 species